rnacentral:rRNA from 1 species
UGGGGAAUAUUGCACAAUGGGCGCAAGCCUGAUGCAGCCAUGCCGCGUGUAUGAAGAAGGCCUUCGGGUUGUAAAGUACUUUCAGCGAGGAGGAAGGCGGUAAGGUUAAUAACCUUAUCGAUUGACGUUACUCGCAGAAGAAGCACCGGCUAACUCCGUGCCAGCAGCCGCGGUAAUACGGAGGGUGCAAGCGUUAAUCGGAAUUACUGGGCGUAAAGCGCACGCAGGCGGGCUGUCAAGUCGGAUGUGAAAUCCCCGGGCUCAACCUGGGAACUGCAUUCGAAACUGGCAGGCUAGAGUCUUGUAGAGGGGGGUAGAAUUCCAGGUGUAGCGGUGAAAUGCGUAGAGAUCUGGAGGAAUACCGGUGGCGAAGGCGGCCCCCUGGACGAAGACUGACGCUCAGGUGCGAAAGCGUGGGGAGCAAACA